rnacentral:rRNA from 1 species
UACGUAGGGUGCGAGCGUUAAUCGGAAUUACUGGGCGUAAAGCGUGCGCAGGCGGUGUUGUAAGUCAGAUGUGAAAUCCCCGGGCUCAACCUGGGAACUGCAUUUGUGACUGCAUCGCUGGAGUGCGGCAGAGGGGGAUGGAAUUCCGCGUGUAGCAGUGAAAUGCGUAGAUAUGCGGAGGAACACCGAUGGCGAAGGCAAUCCCCUGGGCCUGCACUGACGCUCAUGCACGAAAGCGUGGGGAGCAAACAGG